rnacentral:lncRNA from 1 species
AAUGACAUGGGGAAAUGGAAGGAGAAAAAAAAAAACAAUGCUAAAAAGCCUAGAGAUGACCACAUAUGAAACGACCAUGUGUGUAAAGGAUUGCUGGAAAAUAAAUCAGGUACAACCUUUUCUGCUCCUUACCAAACAGUACCACCUUCCCCUUUGCCCUACUUCAACUCUGGAGAGAGCAGAAACCACAGCAAGAAAGCUGACAGGGAGGAAGAGAAGCAAGGAAAGGCACCCAGAGAAGAAGGAAGUAUGAGGAGAUUUUCCUCCAGUAUUCACUGUGAGAAACUGGUCCUGCUCCUGGAGGCAAAUUCACAAAAGCACGGAGGCCCUGAUGACUGAGUGCCCCCCAGUUUUUAAUCUCUGGGGCUCGUUGGCUCUGGGCCUCCAGCCACUCAUCAGUGAUGUUCAGGUUUCCCUACCUUGGCACUGCUUCCCACGGAGAGAUGGCCUGGAUUCUGCCAUGUAAAUCAAAGAAGAGAGGGCCUAACUCAGCUGCCUAGCCUGGAUCACCUGGAACCCAUUAGGAUACAGGAUCAUAAACACCUCUAUUUUCCCUUCAGAGAGAGACCAGAACCACUGGAGUUAAGCUACCUGCAUAAGAGUUGAGUGCGAUCAGCUGUACUUAAUCUUUAAAUGUCCAACCCACUGAUAACCUUUGGUUUGCUUUGAUAACUAUGAAAUAAAUUCU